rnacentral:rRNA from 1 species
GGCAUCGACGCUUACCAUGCAAGUCGAGGGGCAGCAUUAUUUUAGCUUGCUAAGAUAGAUGGCGACCGGCGCACGGGUGCGUAACGCGUAUGCAACCUGCCUGUAAUUAGGGAAUAACCCGGUGAAAGUCGGACUAAUACCCUAUAUUCUUCUUUUUCCGCAUGGAGAAGGACGGAAAGAUUUAUUGAUUACAGAUGGGCAUGCGUCCCAUUAGCUAGUUGGUAAGGUAACGGCUUACCAAGGCAACGAUGGGUAGGGGGACUGAGAGGUUGACCCCCCACACUGGUACUGAGACACGGACCAGACUCCUACGGGAGGCAGCAGUGAGGAAUAUUGGUCAAUGGGCGAGAGCCUGAACCAGCCAAGUCGCGUGAAGGAGGACGGUUCUAUGGAUUGUAAACUUCUUUUGUAGAGGAAUAAUGGCAGCUACGUGUAGCUGAGAUGCAUGUACUCUACGAAUAAGUAUCGGCUAACUCCGUGCCAGCAGCCGCGGUAAUACGGAGGAUACGAGCGUUAUCCGGAAUUAUUGGGUUUAAAGGGUGCGUAGGUGGCGUAUUAAGUCAGUGGUGAAAAGCUGCAGCUCAACUGUAGUCUUGCCGUUGAAACUGAUAUGCUAGAGAGGAGACGAGGUAUGCGGAAUGUGUGGUGUAGCGGUGAAAUGCAUAGAUAUCACACAGAACGCCGAUUGCGAAGGCAGCGUACCAGGCUCCGUCUGACACUGAAGCACGAAAGCGUGGGGAUCAAACAGGAUUAGAUACCCUGGUAGUCCACGCAGUAAACGAUGAAUACUAGAUUUUUGCGAUAUAGUGUAAGAGUCUAAGCGAAAGCGAUAAGUAUUCCACCUGGGGAGUACGCCGGCACGGUGAAACUCAGAGGAAUUGACGGA